AACCUAAGACUGGUGGGUGAAGCAAACACUCAAUCAGCUGUUCAAGUGCCUGUUGAUGCUGGUCAGUCCACAGGAUUGGCUUGUUUGAGGGCACCACAUUACUUACUUUCUUUGUUUUUGUUUUCCGUGGGUGGUGAGGUAAUUUCUCUGAAUCUGCUUUCAGGAGGUCAUACAGGCAGCUGGCCCUCCUAGAAAAGUCUUUGAUGUACUGUCUGUAGUAAGUGAGUAAACAAAGCAUUUUUCUGAGCUGGCCCACAGUCUCUGGUCUGAUUUCUUUCAAUGCUCUUACUGCUUCAAAAUCGGCUGGGUCAACUCGGCUGCCCUCUGCAGACACUAUUCUACCCAAAUAACAGACCUGCGGUUUAAAGAGAUCACACUUACUUGGUUUGAGUUUAAUGCCAUACUCUCUGAGACGCUGCAAAACUUUUCGCACAUCAUUCACAUGGCUGUCGAAUGUUUUACUGAAAACUAGCGUGUCGUCCAGAUAAGGAAUGCAAUGUUAUCCCGGAGCCCUUCCAAACAAUCCUCCAUACACCGCUGAAAAGCUGCAGGAGCGUUCAUGAGGCCGAAUGGCAUACAUAUCCACUCAGAGUCCCCAUGGGGUCACAAAUGCUGUCAGUGGUCUGCUUUCUUCAGAGAUGAACCCCUGGUGAUACGCUUUUCCCUGAUCUAAGAGGGAGAACCAGGAAUUACCACCUAAACUGUCCAUGAUGUCUUGGACCCGAGGGAUGGGCUGGCGGUCGGGAUGUGUCUUUCUGUUCAAGUCUCUGUAAUCUAUACACAACCGGAGGGUCCCGUCCUUCUUCCGAACGCACACGACAGGUGAAGAAUAUGAAGAGUUUGACUUCCUAACCCAGCCCUGGGCUAUGAGGUCAUAAAGGUAACCCUUCAUCUCCUGAUACAGUGGCCUGGGCACUGACAUGUAUGUGCGCUUGACUGGUUUAGAGAAAUAGUCAUUUUCAAUCGUUCAAUACAGCCAAUGUCAUUGUCUGAUCUGGAGAAGGAGUGACACUCUUCUCUAAGCAUUUGCCUAACAACCUCUCUCUGCUCUUCGGUGAGUUGAUUUAAACCUACUGGUGGAUCCCUCUGUUCAGUAGCAGUACAUGGGGUUUGAACGCUUGUGUUAUUCACUGUGGCUGGGGUGACAGUUUUUUCAAAGACCUGGGCAGGUAACAGUCAUAAUGGUUUGUACUGUACCGAUUAUUGUGCAUCCUAGCAGGGCAAUGUCGUGGUCAGUGGGGUUAGAGACAUCAAGCAUGAUAACUGGAAAAACACCUUUCCUGACUGACUAGUGUGUCAAAGAACUCAAGGCCGUCUGGCCACUGCGGGUUCAGGUCUGGCUGGAAAAGCAUUGUCAUGUCCUCUUUGAAAGGCUGGGAAGCUACACGGCACUCAAUCUGAAUGCUACUGUGUUUUGGUACAGCAACCUUCUCUUUCUUGGUUUUCACUGCAUAUUCAUCUGUCUGUUCUGCGCUAACAGCCUGUAUAAAAGCUCUCACCUUGUUUCUUUUGAGGCUUGGGAAAGCUGUUUUUACUGUAUUGUUUAGUCUUGUCGGUCAUUGUCAGGAUGUGCUCGAUAACAUUGAAACCUAUGAUGGGAUGAGAUAGGUGACAGCCUUUCAUUACCAGCACUGGGAUGAUCAGUUCCUUUGUUUGGUCAGUUUCAGAGGCUAGCCGAAAAGUUGUUUCAAUCCAUCCCAGGUAUGGCAUUUCAGUCCCAUUUGCUGCAGUCAACCUUAGAUCAUCAGGUGAGUCCAGGAUUUCUAAAACAUCUCUCAGCCUUGCGUUUGGGAGAGAUUCCUCUUUCCAUCGUUCAUCAAUGACCGAUACCUGAGAGCCUGUGUCCCAUAGAGCUUGGAGGUGGUGGCGAUUCAGGUGACACUCAAUAAGGCACUGUCUGCCGACUAGCGAGGUGACCUUACGGGGGUGGCAACCUUGAGCUAGGGAUGGUAAAGAGUGGGCAUUUCCCUCUGUGCAGGAAAACCUUUCCCUGGUAGAGUCAAUUUUCAGGUGACUGCAUUUUUCCUUAUGUUUAGUCCAAUGUUGGUUUUGACAUACUUUGGAACAGUACAGUGUCUCUUUACAUGAUGAACAUUGUUUCAGGUUCUCAAAUGAAUCUUCUCUGGCACAAUUUGCACAUUUCUGGGACUUUUUGGUAGCUACGGUUAACACUUGUCCCUCAGCGGUAACCCUUCCCCCUUUGAGGGGUCUCCUUGCUAUGCUGUGCUUCUGAAGCUAGCUGUUUGUAAAGCUCUGUUGCACUCUUCUCUUGGAAGUGGGAACGCAGGAUACAUCUAAGUGUGGGAAGGGUUAGCUGGGGUUUACCCUCCAAGUGGCUGCGUAGCUGUGAGCCUGGAGAAAUAGCCCUGACUACUGCGUCUACUAUUUCUACCUCAGGAUAGCCUCUGUUAAGUCCAUUCUCGAUCUGAUGGGCAAGGCUGGAAAAAAAUCCGUUUAUCUUUCUGGCCCGGUUCACCUAUCUGACCAGAAAUUUUAAACUCUUUGCGCCAGUAUGAGCUGGGCUGUGCACUGGGUGAGAGCGUCACGCUCACCUGAAGAUUAGCAUGGGGUUGGGGCUGAUGCAGAGAAUCACUGGCUUUGGCUGCAGUAAUCUGCUCAGUUCCCACCCCUUGUUGUGGGGUUGCAGUUCUCAGUUCGUCUAUUCUGUGAUGUGUUCCGGCUGUUUCAAUAUCAUGGUCAGUUUGCCCUGUUUUGUUAUCUAUGCCACUGAUCAUCUGUCAUUUUGUCUUUAAGUAGCAACAAUUCCGACAUGCCGCCAUCUUCUAACUCUGCAGCUUCCUCUCUUUCAAGGAACCUCAUAAUGUGAGUCAUCACUGAUAUGCGGGAUUUGUCUUGAACAUCUCUUCUCUGUUCGCCUGAGAUGUCAAGGAAAUCACAUAUCUCUAGUAACUUGUCUUUAGUCAGGGUGUGCAAUUCUCCUACUACCUCUUCCUGUAGUUCUCCCAAGGCGGUCGUCAUGUUGACAGAACAGGAGGAACUUUUACUGUGCAGGAGUUGACUCUGAAUUAGAUGGUCCUUACUGUCUCUGAUGGUCGAUCAAUGGCCUCAGCUGACACGUACUUAACCACCAACUUCCAGCUCUCCUCGAACAGCAACACUUUCCUCACUGCAGCCUGCCUGAGUUGUUAUGUGGGGAUUUAGCUGGCUCGGAAUUCAGCGACCAGGAUGUGGAAACUGGACA
rnacentral:lncRNA from 1 species